CAGAGAUAUACACAGCAAAAUUUAAAAAUAAAAAAUAAAAAAAGCUAUGUUUUAUGAAUCAUCCAAUUAAGAUACAAUAAUACAUAUGCACAAAGUAAUCUUAUUCCAUGUGUACCUGUGAACUGUAAAUGUACAUUGUAUACAGUUUAUCUUGAGUUCUAUUGUAAAUGUGCUUGAAAAACAAAUUCCAAAGUACUUAUUAUGGUAAAACAUUUCCGAAAUAAUAAAAAGUUGCCAGUGAUAUCACUGAUUCUGGAACAGAGGCAGGAAUAAUGGUAAUGUCAAAAUGUGCUUUAUGUAAUAUGGAUUAUACUAGACAUUUUAAAUCCCC